rnacentral:rRNA from 1 species
AUGCGCCUUCAACAACAGAUCUCGGAUGUGGUGGACGUGGACCAAUCCGGGUUCAUUAAGGGGCGGAGCAUCUCCGAAAACUUUGUGUACGCAACGGAGAUUGUCCAAUGCUGCGAGAAACGCCGGGCGCCAUCGCUGGUCCUGAAGCUCGACUUUGCCAAAGCCUUUGACUCCAUCAACUGGGGGAGCCUUCGCCGGAUUAUGGAGGUGUGUGGCUUUCCGCCCCUCUGGUGCGACUGGAUGGACUCCAUCUUCCAGUCGUCCAUGUCCGCGGUGGUGCUCAAUGGCGUGCCCGGGCGAUGGAUCAAAUGCAAGAAGGGGUUGCGGCAGGGGGACCCCAUCUCCCCCUACCUGUUCCUCCUCGUCGCGGACGUGCUACAACAGAUGAUCAAGAGAGGUGGUGGGAUGCGCCACCCCCUGUUCGCUGAUGCGCCCCCGCUUGUCCUCCAGUAUGCUGACGACACCAUCAUCAUCAUGCACGCGGAGCUGGGCGCGGUUCGUCGUCUCAAGGGCAUCCUUGAUGACUUCGCGGCUGCGACGGGGCUCGUCAUCAACUUCCACAAAAGCACUGUCGCGCCCGUCUAG